UGAUAUCACUAGAAUUGAUCGUUGGGUGGGAAUCUCGUUGCAUGUGUGUGAGUUUAUGAUCCCAUCUUGAUAAAGGGUCUGGAAAGGUGUUUUCUUGACAUCCCUUUUGGACUGGCAGUCCUGGAGUAAUGGGAAGGCAACACACCGUGACCCUCAGCAAUGCUAGCCCCAAAAGAGUGCAGGAUCGCUGCAGUGAGCUGUUUAAAUGGAGCGAGCAGUUUAAAUUCGCCAACAUCGAAGAUUCGACAGUGAAUUAAGGAAUUGCGUAUGUUCCCGGUAAAGGCUAAAACAAUAAACUUGUGUAUACAGCUGGAGA